UGGUGGAACAUGACUAUGCC
rnacentral:siRNA from 1 species